rnacentral:tRNA from 1 species
GCGCCCGUAGCUCAAUUGGAUAGAGCGUCUGACUACGGAUCAGAAGGUUGGCGGUUCGAGUCCGUCCGGGCGCG